AUUGAACGCUGGCGGCAGGCCUAACACAUGCAAGUCGAACGGUAACAGAAAGCAGCUUGCUGCUUUGCUGACGAGUGGCGGACGGGUGAGUAAUGUCUGGGAAACUGCCUGAUGGAGGGGGAUAACUACUGGAAACGGUAGCUAAUACCGCAUAACGUCGCAAGACCAAAGAGGGGGACCUUCGGGCCUCUUGCCAUCGGAUGUGCCCAGAUGGGAUUAGCUAGUAGGUGGGGUAAAGGCUCACCUAGGCGACGAUCCCUAGCUGGUCUGAGAGGAUGACCAGCCACACUGGAACUGAGACACGGUCCAGACUCCUACGGGAGGCAGCAGUGGGGAAUAUUGCACAAUGGGCGCAAGCCUGAUGCAGCCAUGCCGCGUGUAUGAAGAAGGCCUUCGGGUUGUAAAGUACUUUCAGCGGGGAGGAAGGGAGUAAAGUUAAUACCCUUGCUCAUUGACGUUACCCGCAGAAGAAGCACCGGCUAACUCCGUG
rnacentral:rRNA from 1 species